rnacentral:rRNA from 1 species
ACGGAGGAUGCGAGCGUUAUCCGGAUUUAUUGGGUUUAAAGGGUGCGUAGGUGGUGAUUUAAGUCAGCGGGGAAAGUUUGCGGCUCAACCGUAAAAUUGCCGUUGAAACUGGGUUACUUGAGUGUGUUUGAGGUAGGCGGAAUGCGUGGUGUAGCGGUGAAAUGCAUAGAUAUCACGCAGAACACCGAUUGCGAAGGCAUCUUACUGAACCAUAACUGACACUGAGGCACGAAAGCUUGGGGAUCAAACAG